rnacentral:rRNA from 1 species
GACUGCUAAUACCGAAUGUGCCUUAGGGUGAAAGAUUUAUUGUCUAGAGAUUGGCUCGCGUCAGAUUAGCUAGUUGGAGUGGUAACGGCACACCAAGGCGACGAUCUGUACUUGGUCUGAGAGGAUGACCAGGCACACUGGAACUGAGACACGGUCCAGACUCCUACGGGAGGCAGCAGUGGGGAAUUUUCCGCAAUGGGCGAAAGCCUGACGGAGCAAUACCGCGUGAGGGAGGACGGCUUUUGGGUUGUAAACCUCUUUUAUCAGGGAAGAAUCGAUGACGGUACCUGAUGAAUCAGCAUCGGCUAACUCCGUGCCAGCAGCCGCGGUAAUACGGAGGAUGCAAGCGUUAUCCGGAAUUAUUGGGCGUAAAGCGUCCGUAGGUGGUUUAUCAAGUCUGCUGUCAAAGCGUGCGGCUUAACCGCAUAAGGGCAGUGGAAACUGAUGAACUAGAGUGCGAUAGGGGUAACAGGAAUUCCCAGUGUAGCGGUGAAAUGCGUAGAUAUUGGGAAGAACACCAGCGGCGAAAGCGUGUUACUGGGUCUGCACUGACACUGAGGGACGAAAGCUAGGGGAGCGAAAGGGAUUAGAUACCCCC